CAUGCAAGUCGAGGGGCAGCAUGAUCUUAGCUUGCUAAGGUUGAUGGCGACCGGCGCACGGGUGCGUAACGCGUAUGCAACUUGCCUUACAGAGGGGGAUAACCCGUUGAAAGACGGACUAAAACCGCAUACACUUGUAUUAUUGCAUGAUAUUACAAGGAAAUAUUUAUAGCUGUAAGAUAGGCAUGCGUCCCAUUAGCUAGUUGGUGAGGUAACGGCUCACCAAGGCGACGAUGGGUAGGGGAACUGAGAGGUUUAUCCCCCACACUGGUACUGAGACACGGACCAGACUCCUACGGGAGGCAGCAGUGAGGAAUAUUGGUCAAUGGGCGAGAGCCUGAACCAGCCAAGUCGCGUGAAGGAAGACUGUCCUAAGGAUUGUAAACUUCUUUUAUACGGGAAUAACGGGCGAUACGAGUAUUGCAUUGAAUGUACCGUAAGAAUAAGCAUCGGCUAACUCCGUGCCAGCAG
rnacentral:rRNA from 1 species